rnacentral:rRNA from 1 species
AGUGAACGCUGGCGGCGUGCUUAACACAUGCAAGUCGAACGAGAACGGAUUAUAGCUUGCUAUAAUUGUCAGCUAAGUGGCGCACGGGUGAGUAAUGUAUAGGUAAUAUGCCUCUUACUAAGGGAUAACAAAUGGAAACGCUUGCUAAUACCUUAUACUCCUUAUUAACAAAAGUUAAUAAGGGAAAGAUUUAUUGGUAAGAGAUUAGCCUGUAUUGUAUCAGUUAGUUGGUGGGGUAAUGGCUUACCAAGACUAUGACACAUAACUGGUUUGAGAGGAUGAUCAGUCACACUGGAACUGAGACACGGUCCAGACUCCUACGGGAGGCAGCAGUGGGGAAUAUUGCACAAUGGACGAAAGUCUGAUGCAGCAACGCCGCGUGGAGGAUGACACAUUUCGGUGCGUAAACUCCUUUUAUAUGAGAAGAUAAUGACGGUAUUAUAUGAAUAAGCACCGGCUAACUCCGUGCCAGCCGCCGUAAUAC